GAUGAAGGCAGCGAAAUGCGAUAAGUAAUGUGAAUUGCAGAAUUCAGUGAAUCAUCGAAUCUUUGAACGCACAUUGCGCCCGCCAGUAUUCUGGCGGGCAUGCCUGUCUGAGCGUCAUUUCAACCCUCAUGCCCCUAGGGCGUGGUGUUGGGGAUCGGCCAAAGCCCGCGAGGGACGGCCGGCCCCUAAAUCUAGUGGCGGACCCGUCGUGGCCUCCUCUGCGAAGUAGUGAUAUUCCGCAUCGGAGAGCGACGAGCCCCUGCCGUUAAACCCCCAACUUUCCAAGGUUGACCUCAGAUCAGGUAGGAAUACCCGCUGAACUUAAGCAUAUCAAUAAGCGGAGGA
rnacentral:misc_RNA from 1 species